UUCACAGAGUACAUGUGAAUAGAGAUGGAUAUAUUUUCCACAUUAGUCAUAAAAAGUUUACAGCGCUCUACACUCACAGUGACAUUAUUGAACCCAGCUGCCAUCGGAUGGUUCUGCGCCGGUGGAAUAAUCACACGAUCCUGCUGCAGUGAACACAUUAUCAAUCAUUAACCAGACACGGUAGGCAAAAAGAUGCUGCUAGCUAGCUAGCUUACCUCCUCAUUGUUGUUAAAAAUAUAUUUUUUGAAAAUGGUCUGGAGCAUUUUGGGUAGAUACAGUAUGUGGCUGGUAUAUUAACCAUGAUUGGUUGGUUAUUUUAGAGUGUAAAAGUGUCACUUAGUAAAUUAAAAGACUGUUGAAUACGCUUGUUAGGAUACUUUUUAUUUAGCUAGCCAGAUCUUUACGCACAAUAACGAUAUGACCAUGUCUUUGUUGUAGUUAUAAUAUCAUUUAAACUGACUCCUCUUUCGAUGCUUACUCUUUCUCCUUCUUAUCUGCUCUGUUUUGUUCUCCCUGUGCUUACUCUACAUCAUAUUAGAGUAUAUAGAAGUUAUGCUAGUAUGCUAGCAUAACUUCUAAUCAUCCAAAGUCAACGCUGCCUCACUUACCACAUGACAAUGUUUUUUGACAAUGUAAGAUAGAAGAGCUAUAAAUGCUACAAAUGACCCUUUAAUACUCAUGAAACAAAUUUGACUGGAUGUUUGUCAAAUGUUUGGGUGUCAGAUUAACUCACUGAGAGGUCUGGUGCAUACGAUUCAUUUCUGAAGCCAGCACCAGCUGAGGAAGAUGACGGACCGUUCACAGGCUGGACCAUCUGUCUGGUUCGCAGGUAGUAAAUCAGCAGGGCGAUCAACGUGCCGAUCAGCAGCAGGACCACGAUGACGGACGCUGCGAUCCCUCCGGCGUUGUCCUGCUUUGGUGAGGCUACGGGGAAGGUGGACAACAUUUAGCUUCCGGUUCUACGAGAUGAUUGUGUUGAGGACGACAGGAAGUCAGUCAAAGGGCUGCACUACUGGUGUUUGCAUUUUAGGUUAGUUGACAAAACUGCUGGCAAUUAGACAAACUCCUUUAGUGCUGAACAUUUUUAAAAGCCAAUCUCCUAAUCCCAAGUGAAUAUUUUAGUGUAGUUUGUGAAAUUACAUUACAUUAAUCUCAAAAAAGAGAAAAGAUGCUUUCUACCAGAUUUAGCUUUGAUCUGCAGUCUUGGUGCAGGUGAAAGGAAACAUUACAUUUCAAAUCUUUGAGCGGAUUAAAUAAAGAACGAAAGAAGACGCAUAAGCAUAUAUCCCAAAAUGACCCCAACUAUUAUUUGAAAAAAAUUCCAGUUAAUGGUCUGGAAAACAUUCAAAACCACUGGCCCUUCUUACUUGCAUCUGUGACUUCGUUAGCGCAGUUGACUCCGACGGUGUACUCGAUGUCAUCCAGAGCCACAACGCCCGAUGUGCCUUUGAUUCCUUCAAGCACAAUCUGUAGACAACAAAGACAAGACGACAGCAGAGAGAGCGGUCCGUCAGUCCUGUGCAACACAUUUAGUCAAGUGCAAAACUUGAAUGCACCGUUGAGCUGUGGAUAAGCUUACAUACAGUACGCUACAUAGAGAGCACUAUAUUGGUGUCUAGAUUAGACACAGUAUAUUUAUCUUCUGGCAAGUGAGAGUCUGACCUGGUAUUCCUUAGUAGACGUGAUGUUGACGUCAAAGCGUUUCCACGGCCCUCCCAGUUCACUCACCACCAGCAGCUGAUGGAGACUACCUUCAGAUAACCUCCACACCCUCAGCUGGCUGUCCGCUGCAUGUGUGAGAAAUAUAAGUUCAAAAUAUCAAAAUGGGAAGUGCAUCACACACAUCCAGACUACAUCCGACAGGCUUUCACGAUAACAUCCAUCCUUACACGAGUAUGGCUUGUAGGCCCAGAAUUUCAAGCAGGUGCCCUUGGUCGGGGGCAGGUGAGGGCUCAGCAACUGAGCUUUUUCAGAGGGUGCCGUCCGGUUGCUGCUUGGAAAGAACAGGAAGUGACCUGGCGGAGAGGAAAGGGAAGGUAGGUUAUUUCACACUUCGGUACAUGUCGUCGGAUAAAAACAAAAAAACAGACAAACGGACACACGUAACGUUUGUGUUAAAAAUGAUCAAAGUGUUGUUCUCACUGCUUCCUGACUCUCAGUGCGAAGAUCUUUGUUGAAACGCAUGACCGUAUGUAGGUUUUGCCACAACGUGCACAGUCAAAGUAGCUCUGUCUCUGUCUGGUUUACCUUUCUCUGUGCCCAGACUGUGGUCCUCAUUCGGGGUGGGGUAGUGGCUCUCUGCCUCCCGACUCGUCAGCUCCCAGUCCAGUUUGUCCACUUUGACGUUUUGAGUGUUGCUCCAGCUACACAUCCCUCUCUCCAGACUGCACUUAGAACCUGAAAUAUAAAAAAAGAAAUUGGUGGAUUGCUCCAUUUAAAAAGCCCAUUAUGCAUCAACACGACUCCCAAGGAGGAGCAGCGCGCCUGCACAAGCGUGAGACUCUUUUAUUUGGAAGUGUUUUAGAUAGCGAGGUUUUAGCGAAGAUGGAUGUGUUUGGGAAGUAGUGAGCAUACAACUGGAUCAAUUAGAGUGGCAUCAUGCUGCACUAGUUGUGUGAGAGUAAAUAGAUGUUUUCAUAUAGUUUUGCUGUUGUUGAAUGCGGCCCCCAUUUACUUCAAUUGAUCGAGACAUUUUUCUCCGUUUUUGGAUUCUUUAUUCAACAUUGAGACAUGCAAGAAAAAUAAUUCUUCAAGAAUUCAAGGUAAUACAGGGUGAUUAAUAAAGGAUCAUUUUGUGGCUCAAGAGUUCUUUUGAUUUGGCUGACGCCGAUACAAACCUUGGUCUUCACAUGGGCGAGCUGAAAUGAAGAUGUCAUCAACUGCAACGUGAGUGUCUUUGCCUCCGGCUCCGACCACCUCAAACUCCAGCUGCAGAGCAGAACAAAGCAUCAUCUUAGUUAAAACGUCAAACACGACAUCAUAUAAAAAGGUAACGGACCUUUUAUACGAUCCCAAUUUUCUAAAGCUGCUGGAGAAAUGGAACAUUUAACAUGCUGAUCUUCCUUAUAAGUGUGCAUCCUCACAUUGAAGAGAAACUGUAAAUGGGACAGGAACGCAAAGCAAUGAUAUCUGAUUUUUAGACAGUUUCAAUAGUUUGUACUAUUGUAAAAGUCUAUAAUUGUUCCAGUCUCCACAAUGUACCUGCCAGUCCACAAGGGCACUGGAGAUGUUGCCGUUGCCUUGGCGCCAGACAUCUCCCUGGUUCAGACUGUCAGAGAAGCUCUUCACUCUUUCUCCCUUCACCGGCUUCAUAUACAACGUCAGAGAACCUGCAAAGUACACAGAGUUCUGUUGUGGGGUUUCUUGUCAUGUUUGUGUGUGCGCGUGUGUUUCACUGUAUGACUGUGUCUCACCAGGAUUCACUCCGCCCAUGUGAUACCAGAAAUGGACGCACUCGGUCUUGGCGGUUGCUUGGCGAACAGGGGAGGUGAGGGCUGACGUGGAACCCGACGGAAGGAAGCCCACCCCGGUGUUAACCAACAUGUAGAAACCUGAGCCACCAAACAGUUUAGUCUCCAGAGUGUGGUCGGUCUCGGGUCCGGUCACCGUGGCGGUGCGUCCGCUGCGGUGAAGCCAGUGAACUUUACCAGAGCUUUUGUAUCCACACCGCUGGCCUUCAAAGGAACACAUCCUCGGCACGGUGCACGGACGGUCCACGAACGCCACAUCGUCAAUGGCCACGCGCCCGUCAAAACCAGAGCGGGCUGCUUCAAACAUCAGCUGGAGGCGAAAGGUCGGAGAGGGCUGACUGCAGUCAUUCCAUACCCGGAAGGUAGUGAGCUGGUGCGGCACCGGGCAGUGCGCCUCGUGCCACACGUUGCCGUGAGCUGCACUGCGGGUCCAGAGGACGGCCUCAUAACCGUUGUUAUUCAACAGCUUCACAUUCAGAGUACCUGGACGGGACCGGACGGGGAGGACGGGGCAACUCAGGCUGGCAGAGCCUACAUGUACCAUGAUGCAUUGCAUGUGAGCUUCUGAUGCCUGGAGGGUCCCCACCAGCCUUAUCGUCUUGCACGGCUCGUGGAGCUGCAGCCUCAGCCUCUCUGAUGAAUUCAUUGCUUCAAUGGACUACAUUUACCCUCAACAAUGAUUGGACAUCCAUCAAAAGGUGGUGAGUUUUCCCUUUAACUUCAAUGUAGGUAAAGGGAAAGGUAAAUCAUCUGUUUCCCCCUCAGGCUCAGAGAAAGAGAUGCUUCUUUAACAUUCCAGUCAGUCUUGUCCUCACCUGUGUUCGGCCCGUAGAGUUUGUAGAAGAAGGACAGGCAGUGAUCUGAAGGAAUUGGUAACUGUGGGAAUGAAACUAAGCGUCCGAACGCACCGCGCAGAGAAGGGCUCCACAUAUCCACCAUGAGACUUCUGCCUGGAGGUCAACAGAGAGGCGGGCGGGAAAGGAAGUGAGCUUCAAAGCAUCACAAGUACAGCAAUGGCACCUUAUACACUGCAGUCAUACUGUGUUGUCUUAUAGUGAUUAUGAGUGAUGCAAUGAAUGAGCUACAUACUAAGUUCAACACAUUUACCACAAAUAGACAAAGAUCUGUUCACUUUAGCUCUAUUAAAAACAGCAAUUUAUUAUUCAUUUAGAUCGCACAUUUAAACUGGUUUGGUAUUUUCUGUUGAACACAACUACAAGAACUGGAGUUUCUUCAACAGAAUUGAGUGCCGUUUUCACAGUGUUGUCACUUUCUGUACCCGGAUACAGAGUGACAACCGGUAUGAAAAUAAUAUUAAUAAUAGCUUUUAGCCUCGAAGGCUGUGCUGGGACUAGAAUAACAUCCCAAAUGUCAGUUACAAGAAUGUCCCCCUCGUGAACAUGGAAGUGAUUUGAGGUUUUAGUAGUUUUGAGGGUUAAAUGUUCUCACAAAAGAAACUAUGAACACUAUGAAUAUGAAUACUCUUUGUAUCAAACUAUUAGCAUAUAUGAGGAUAAUGAGAAAGAAGAAUAUUCCUUUUAUUAUAACUGCUCCAAACCAUGAUUACACAAUAUCCUCCUAUGUACUCCAUAUGACACAUUUAAAAUCUGAUGUUUUCUACCAGUGACGUCCAGGAAAGAUGGAGGCGUGUCUGAGAUACUCCCUCCUAAAAAAUACACUGUAUAUCCGUAUUUUUAUGAUUUUAAAGGAGCUUACCGAUCCCGAUGGUGUGGUCCAUCCCAUCCACCACCGCCCAGUCAAAGUUGUCACUGUUGUCCUGAUACCAUCCACAUAGUCCAUCCUCGAAGUUACACGACAGCCCUAAACAAAAACGCAAUGACACAUUUCCGGGUAACAUCGUAAAGUCUGCAUUAUGCAACGUCAUGUGUGUGUACUGAAGAUGGGUUUGAGUUACCUGUUGGAGAGGAUGGGAAAUAAUCAGCAUGACAGCUGACAAAGCGAACGUUUUUCACUUUAAUGUUGGCACUUGGAGGAAGUUUCACAGCACGAGCUUCGAAGGCCAGCUGGCAAAGAUAAAACAAGGACAACAAAAGAGCCCUGAUGAGUGAAAUUCACAAAUUUUAACUUUAACUUCAAGUAAAGUAGAUUUUUAACCAGUUCCACAAGGUGAAACUGUUGUAUUUAGAUGGAUUAGAUUUAGAUCGAAGGUCAAGGCUUUGUGAAUAUUCCUCAAACGUCUACAGCUCUAAAUGUUUUCAGACAACCUGUCUUUUCUUUUCCUUAAAAGCUUGACCUCCAGUCAUUUCUGAGACCAGACAUUCAUUUCUGCGAGUCAAGUCUCAUCUUCAAUGCAAACAUCUUAAAUGAAAUAAUGACAAUUAUAGCAUCCCUGAGAAAAUUAAGCUGACCUGGAAGCGAUCUUUUCUGACUCCAAUAGGCAGGUUGACAUGUUGCCACGCCCCCUCCCCUGUUCCAGUCUUCCCACUGAACUCCCACAGCUUAGGCCGCGUGCCCAGCAAACUGUCGAUCACCCUGACGGACAGCUCACCUGCAGCGGAGACACGUAAACAGAGUCAUGUCAAAAGAUCUUUGACAUGACUCAGAGUCGUGUGUCCCGAGGUAAGAAGUGAAAAGAAGACAUGUGGGAUAAUAAGUUAAUUUAGUUACCAGCGUGAUCUAGACUCCCCGUUAGAGCAAAAUCAAAGCGCAGGGUGCAGGCAGGGCCGGAGGGGCCCAGGAGGGGGGUCCGUGUCUGGGCCUCGGUCAGCUGCUGGCCUGGGGCCUCGGAUACGUACAGGUACAUCUCUAAGCAAUAUGAAAGAAUCAAACAUUAUGUCAUUUGGUGAUUUUCAUCCACUAAAUAUGAGUAAACAGUGAUGUGAGUUGUACCUUCGGAUGUGACAUUUGCGUGUAGCAGCCAACCUUGACUCCCAAUGCUGGCGUCAGUCCAACCUGAGCUGCCCUCAGUGUAAGAGAAAUCCCCUGCAGAAAGGAUUCGUGGAGACAUGAGAUCACACAAAGCUCAGUGCAUGAGACAGAUAUAAAAGAGAUAUAAAAGCCAGGCUUAAGGAUAUUAAUACAAAAAAGAAUAAAUGACGGUUAAUCUACCUGCUAAAUUUCCCUUUAAGGACAGCUAUUACAGUUUUUUUUUGCCAAGACAAAAACUGUUAUUUGCACUACAAUUAUUGACACCAAUGACUCAUGAAGCCCAUCUAUUGACCAGCUAUGCUGAACCAUAAGCACACUGUUCGCUUCACACAUAAACAAAAUUAUUGUUUUCAUAUCUAGUAAUUUGUUCAAUUGGGGGGGGUGGGGCCCUGGGGACUCCUGAGGUCUAAAGCAGCUUCCACUGGCUCUAAUAACAAUCGUAAUUUCUUUUACACUUUUGUAGUCCCGUCGAUAAAAGUGAGGCAGAAUAAAGAGAAGGAAUAGACUCACCACAUUUGUCUUCAUCCUCUGCUCCGGCACAGUCUUGAUGGAAAUCACACAUCUUGUCUGGUUCAGCACACGGGUCUUUAGGAGAUGGAGGGAAACUUGCCCAGGUAUCAUUGGCUGUUCGAGAGGAGAAUGUGAGAUGGCAGAUUUAUCACAGUGUUUAUCAGAGUGUUUGCUCUCAUUCUUUGCAGAUGUGGAAUAUUUUUUUUCUUCAAAAAAAAGACUGUUAGAAGGAUUACCAGAUGACAAGCGGCAUUCAGGAGACAACACAAUGCUGUCGACAGCGAUGCCUCCAUACGCAAAGUCCCUGACUGCUGCCAUCAUUACGAUCUAUAAUGACAGAAAAUGGAGGCAAAUGUAUGUAUAGCAAUAACAAUUUCCUUCAAGACUAAAGCUCUGAAGUGUCAUUUACCCAUUUGGUGAAAACAAUUGCUCUUUAAAAUAUAUCUGAAAACUAAAGGCCCUCAUUUCUAUAUUGAUCAGGAUUUGUCAUUCAAGGACUGAAUUAAAAAUUCUCUUAAAAGUAAAUUUACUUUGGAACCAAAUUCCCAUGAACAUGCAUUGCCAUAAACAACUGUUUGUAUUGCACUUUGCACUUUGUUGUGUUUUGCUUUUAUUGAUACACCAACCAUACCUAAAAACUGUUAUUUUCUAGAAUAUUGGGCGGAUUUUUUAUCAGCAUGGCUCAUUACUAAGUCUCCUAUGCUAAUAUGUGUGCAAACGAUCACUUUUCUCUUACAUGUUUCAAUUAAAAUGCCAUUUACACUUGUGAUAAAAAACAAAACAAAUAUGUGAAUCAGGUUUGUUACCCUAUCUUCAGCACCUCUGUUUAUAGGCUACGGCUACAAACUCAGGUGAAGUACUCACUUGAAAAAUGGAGUCGGUGACAAUCUCCACCUCUGCCUUCACCCAGACAUCGCCCAGAGCGCCGCCCCUCUCCCACACCGGGUAGAUCUCACUAUCUGCCACCAGCACCGUCAGACCGCCGGACCUCGGCCCAAACUGGUGAGUGUACAUCACCAUCUACAGCGGGCAGAGACAGAGAACUGGUCAGAAAUAUCUUCCUUUUUAAUCAAAAAUGUCCGACUGUGAGGAAAUCCCUGUGAAAAUUGAAGCGCAAGAGUAAAAUGAAAACCUCUCUGACUGAAGAGGGAAAGGGUUUGGGACUCACCUUGCAAGGAUGUGAAAUGUUGGUGGGCUCGAGGCGGGGACUUUGGAACGCAGCCCAGUCAUGUGUGAGACCACCAUCAGGGACAGUGACAUAAAGGAAGUGACCUGCAAUGAUAAUAGUGAUAUCCUGCAUUUACAUAUAAUUAUUUCUUAUGUUUAAAAACAACAUCUGAACAUAUUGACAUCGUCAGACUAUGAUACCUGUUGCGCUGUUGUUGGAGUGAUCCCUGCCUGGUCCCUUCAGAGGAUCCGUGACGGAGAUGUUCUCCUGAUUGGUCCUGACCCAUCUCAGUUUGGACAGUGAACUCAGGUCCCAAUCACAAGAGCCCUCCUCGAAGUCACACGCCCGGUAUCCAUCUGGAGACACAAUAAACACACGCAGCUUACAUUGACUGGUGCUCACUGAAUGUGUACAUGCACGGGUUGAAUGUACGGAAACGUUGCCUCUUCUCACUGAAUAUCAGCAACGUUGUGGAGUGUUGAAAAGUGUAUUCCAUACAGACAGCUGUGGGGGAAAUUCAAUAAAUUCUGCCGGGAAUUUGGGAAAAAUUCUGGGAACUUUGCAAAGUAGGUACUUUGCAAGAAUAUCACAGAAUACAUUUCACAGCAAGACAAAGUGGUGUGGAAAACGCAAGUAGGUGGACUUUGACUUACGAAUUUUUCUCAGGUUUUUUUCCACUAAAAAACACGUUCUCCUAACGUAUUUGUCAUAUUGAGCAAUGUAAAUACUUUUUUUUUAUGUCCCGGAUUUUGAAGACUUCUGCCUUCAACCAAAUACAAUGGAGGUGAAGGGAGUUGUAUUUGUGGAGCUAAAAAACAUGAAAAAUGACAUUUGAAAAACUGGGAUAUAAACAAUAUCCCAGUAAAACGUUUUUCAUUGGGAAUUUCACUAGAAAGUAGUCCGGUGAAAUUUGCAGAGGUCAUCCAACACCACAAAGUGUACGAAUUUUCUUUUUUUAUUGCUGGUUGAACUGCCGCUCUAAUCUCUUAUGACAGAGUUUUUUGUACUUUGUCCAUUUGUACAGUGAGUCAUCCGUGUCUGGACAAAUUCCAAACAUAUGUACUUUCCCGUGGUGUCAGAGGGCUCUGUGCUGUAAUAUUUCUCACCACAGUUCUCCUCAUCAGUCCCGUCACCGCAGUCGUCGCUGCCGUCACAGAGCUGUCGCUGCUCCACGCAGCCCCCCCGCCUACACGCCUUCAUCUCUGGGGGACACCCUUCCCCAGAGAGAGGGACUGAUGACGUAGCGAGAGAUAAAAAUCAUUAUGCUCAUCGUGGUUCAGCAACUUUAACUGAUCAAUUUACAGAUUCAUUACAAUUAACUGCUGAUGGGACUGUACAUGAGUGGUGUAUUUUGAGGGACUCACGGGGCAGAGCGCAGUCCAGAAACUCCAUCUGGUCCACCGCCACGUCUCCUCUUCGCCCCUCGGAGCGCCGCGAGCGCAGACGGAUUUGGAAGCCUGUGGGAAUGCGGCCCAGAAAGACGGUGGCCUCCCUCCAGCCACGUACGCUGGAGGCCUCGGGACGCCACACGACGGCCUCUCGAGAGUCCUGGCGAAGGAUGGACACCCACAAGGGCGUGGAGCCCAGACCCGUGUGACCUAAUAAACAACAACAACAACAACAACAACAAUAACUAUGUCUACUAAUACGUUUAAAAAGGCUACAGUUGGAGAAUCAAUACAAUUAUGAGACAAUUACAAAACAUAAAUUACGUGCAAUAAUGUUUCAAAUGUGCAAUUAUUCAACUGCUCAAUACAUCCAUUGAUACAGCAUUUAUACUUUUGUAUUCAUACUUGUGUUAUAUAUUGUAGCAUUGUGUACAUCAUUUACAUUGUAUUUUACUUUGUCCUUUAUUUAAAUGUUUUUCUUAUAUUUCUGUAAUAUACUAACUUCCCACCUUUAUCAAUAAAGUAUUCUGAUUACAAGC